UAACGCGAAGAACCUUACCUGGGUUUGACAUACGCCGGAAAGCCUCAGAGAUGAGGCCCCUUUAUUGUCGGUGUACAGGUGGUGCAUGGCUGUCGUCAGCUCGUGUGGUGAGAUGUUGGGUUAAGUCCCGCAACGAGCGCAACCCUUGUCUCAUGUUGCCAGCGGGUUAUGCCGGGGACUCAUGAGAGACUGCCGGGGUCAACUCGGAGGAAGGUGGGGACGACGUCAAGUCAUCAUGCCCCUUAUGUCCAGGGCUUCACACAUGCUACAAUGGCCGGUACAGAGGGCUGCUAAGCCGCGAGGUGGAGCGAAUCCCACAAAGCCGGUCUCAGUUCGGAUUGGGGUCUGCAACUCGACCCCAUGAAGUCGGAGUCGCUAGUAAUCGCAGAUCAGCAUUGCUGCGGUGAAUACGUUCCCGGGUCUUGUACACACCGA
rnacentral:rRNA from 1 species